GAUGAACGCUGGCGGCGUGCCUAAUACAUGCAAGUCGAGCGAACAGACGAUGAGCUUGCUCCUCUGACGUUAGCGGCAGACGGGUGUGUAACAUGUGUAUAACCUACCUAUAAUACUGGGAUAACUUCGGGAAACCGGAUCUAAUACCGUAUAAUAUCUUGAACCGCAUUGUUCAAUAGUGAAAUACGGUUUUUCUGUCACUUCUAGAUGCAUCUGCGCCUCAUUAGCUAGUUGGUAAGGUAACGGCUUACGAAGGCAACGAUGCGUAGCCGAGCUGAGAGGGUGAUAGGCGACACGGGAACUGAGACACGGACCAGACUCCUACGGGAGGCAGCAGUAGGGAAUCUUCCGCAAUGGGCGAAAGCAUGACGGAGCGACGCCGCGUGAGUGAUGAAAGUCUUCGGAUCGUAAAACUCUGUUAUUAGGGAUGAACAAACGUGUAAGUAACUAUGCCCGUCUUGACGGUACCUAAUCAGAAAGCAACGGCUAACUACGUG
rnacentral:rRNA from 1 species